rnacentral:rRNA from 1 species
UACGUAGGGUGCAAGCGUUAAUCGGAAUUACUGGGCGUAAAGCGUGCGCAGGCGGUGAUGUAAGACAGUGUGAAAUCCCCGGGCUCAACCUGGGAACUGCAUUGUGCUGCAUGGCUGGAGUGCGGCAGAGGGGGAUGGAAUCCGCGUGUAGCAGUGAAAUGCGUAGAUAUGCGGAGGAACACCGAUGGCGAAGGCAAUCCCCUGGGCCUGCACUGACGCUCCAUGCACGAAGCGUG